UCAGCUUUAAAGAUACCAAAAAUACAAAUAAAUCCCACUGUAUCUUUAAAAGUUAGUCUAAAAAGGUACAGCCUUUUAGAAAUGGGUACAACCUUCACUAGAGAGUAAGAUCUAAAAAUACCAUAGUAGGCCUAAAAGCAGCCAUCAAUUAAGAAAGCGUUAAAGCUCAACAACAAUAGUAUUAUUAAUCCCAGCAAUAACAUUAGCCAACUCCUAGAUUUAAUACUGGACUAUUCUAUUACUAAAUAGAAGCAAUAAUGUUAAUAUGAGUAACAAGAAAUAUUUUCUCCUCGCACAAGUUUAAGUCAGUAACUGAUAAUACCCUGACCGUUAACAGUAAAUAAAAAUAACCCAACAAUAAAUGAUUUAUUACUUAUACUGUUAACCCAACACAGGAGUGCACCCAGGAAAGAUUCAAAGAA
rnacentral:rRNA from 1 species